GGUGAGGUGUCCGAGUGGCCUGAAGGAGCACGCCUGGAAAGUGUGUAUACGGCAACGUAUCGGGGGUUCGAAUCCCCCCCUCACCGCCA
rnacentral:tRNA from 1 species